rnacentral:rRNA from 1 species
GACGAACGCUGGCGGCGUGCUUAACACAUGCAAGUCGAACGGAAAGGCCCUGCUUUUGUGGGGUGCUCGAGUGGCGAACGGGUGAGUAACACGUGAGUAACCUGCCCUUGACUUUGGGAUAACUUCAGGAAACUGGGGCUAAUACCGGAUAGGAGCUCCUGCUGCAUGGUGGGGGUUGGAAAGUUUCGGCGGUUGGGGAUGGACUCGCGGCUUAUCAGCUUGUUGGUGGGGUAGUGGCUUACCAAGGCUUUGACGGGUAGCCGGCCUGAGAGGGUGACCGGCCACAUUGGGACUGAGAUACGGACCAGACUCCUACGGGCGGCAGCAGUGGAGAAUCUUGCACAAUGGGCGGAAGCCUGAUGCAGCAACGCCGCGUGCGGGAUGACGGCCUUCGGGUUGUAAACCGCUUUCGCCUGUGACGAAGCGUGAGUGACGGUAAUGGGUAAAGAAGCACCGGCUAACUACGUG